rnacentral:rRNA from 1 species
UACGUAGGUGGCGAGCGUUGUCCGGAUUUACUGGGCGUAAAGGGAGCGUAGGCGGAUUUUUAAGUGAGAUGUGAAAUACUCGGGCUCAACUUGAGUGCUGCAUUUCAAACUGGAAGUCUAGAGUGCAGGAGAGGAGAAUGGAAUUCCUAGUGUAGCGGUGAAAUGCGUAGAGAUUAGGAAGAACACCAGUGGCGAAGGCGAUUCUCUGGACUGUAACUGACGCUGAAGCUCGAAAGCGUGGGGAGCAAACAGG